UACGUAGGGUGCGAGCGUUAAUCGGAAUUACUGGGCGUAAAGCGUGCGCAGGCGGUUCGUUGUGUCGGCGGUGAAAGCCCCGGGCUUAACCUGGGAAUGGCCGUUGAAACUGGCGAACUGGAGUGUGGCAGAGGGUGGUGGAAUUCCGCGUGUAGCAGUGAAAUGCGUAGAUAUCGGGAGGAACACCUGUGGCGAAAGCGGCUCACUGGACCACAACUGACGCUGAGGCGCGAAAGCUAGGGGAGCAAACAGG
rnacentral:rRNA from 1 species